rnacentral:rRNA from 1 species
GAUGAACGCUGGCGGCGUGCCUAAUACAUGCAAGUCGAGCGGACAGACCCGGAGCUUGUUCCUUUCUCGUUUGCCGCGCACGUGUGAAUCACACGUGUAUAACCUCCCUUUCAUACUGGUAUCACUUCGGGACACCGGCGCUUAUCCCGUAUAAUCUCUUGCUCCGCAUUGUUCAAUAGUGAAAUUCGGCUUUUCUGUCUCUUCUCGCUGGUUCCGCGCCGCAUUAGCUAGUUGGUAAGGUACCGGCUUACCAAGGGAACGCUGCGUAGGCGAACUGAGAGGGUGAUCGGCCACACUGGAACUGAGACACGGUCCAGAGGCAUACGGGAGGCAGCAGUAGGGAAUCUUCCGCAAUGGGCGAAAGACUGACGGAGAAACGCCGCGUGAGUGAGGAAGGUCUUCGGAUCGUAAAACUCUGUUAUUAGGGAAGAACAAAUGUGUAAGUAACUAUGCACGUCUUGAAGGUACAUAAGCAGAAAGCCACGGCUAAAUAAGUG